CCUAACACAUGCAAGUCGAACGGGAAGCGGUGCAUAUUGCUUCGGUGAUAAUGUGCCGUGGAGAGUGGCGAACGGGUGCGUAACACGUAGGUAACCUGCCCUGAAAGGGGGGAUAACCACGGGAAACUGUGGCUAAUACCGUAUAAUCUCGCCGUGGCGGUGGUUACGGUGAGGAAAGCUGAGGCGAUUUGGGAGGGGCCUGCGGUCGAUUAGCUGGUUGGUGGGGUAAAGGCCCACCAAGGCGAUGAUCGAUAGCUGUUCUGAGAGGAAGACCAGCCACACGGGAACUGAGACACGGUUCCGACUCCUGCGGGGGGCAGCAGUGAGGAAUAUUGCGCAAUGGGGGGAACCCUGACGCAGCAACGCCGCGUGGAGGACGAAGGUUUUCGGAUUGUAAACUCCUUAACUGGGGGAAGAGAGAGGACGGUACCCCAGGACGAAGACACGGCUAACUAGGUGCCAGCAGCCGCGGUAAUACCUAGGUGUCGAGCGUUAUCCGGAAUUACUGGGCGUAAAGGGUGCGCAGGCGGUGUUACAAGUCCGGCGUGAGAGCUUCUGGCUUAACUGGGAGAGGACGUCGGAAACUGUAGUGCUAGAGUGAAUGAGAGGGGGGCGGAAAUCCCGGUGUAGUGGUGGAAUGC
rnacentral:rRNA from 1 species